AUCGCUCGCUCCCCACCAUACCUCCCCUACGGUUGGCAUGGUGUUGGGGCGGAUAAUGGCCUCCCGUGCUUGUGUUUCGGUUGGCCUAAAUAAGAGUUCCUUCGGCGGACGCACGACUAGUGGUGGUUGAAUAGACCCUCGUCUUUUGUUGCGUGUCGUGAGCUGUAAGGGUAGCCCUCAUCAAAGACCCCAUUGUAUCGUCUUCGGAUGAUGCUUCGAC
rnacentral:misc_RNA from 1 species